GUCGCUCAACGGAUAAAAGGUACCUCGGGGAUAACAGGCUGAUCUUGCCCAAGAGUCCAUAUCGACGGCAUGGUUUGGCACCUCGAUGUCGGCUCGUCGCAUCCUGGGGCUGGAGUAGGUCCCAAGGGUUGGGCUGUUCGCCCAUUAAAGCGGUACGCGAGCUGGGUUCAGAACGUCGUGAGACAGUUCGGUCCCUAUCCUCUGCGCGCGUUGGAAAUUUGAGAAGGUCUGUCCUUAGUACGAGAGGACCGGGACGGACGAACCUCUGGUAUGUCAGUUGUACCGCCAGGUGCAUGGCUGAUUAGCUACGUUCGGGAUGGAUAACCGCUGAAAGCAUCUAAGCGGGAAGCCGGCUUCGAGAUGAGAUUUCCUUGCCCCUUUGAGGGUGUGAGGCCCCCAGCUAGAACACUGGGUUGAUAGGCUGGAUGUGGAAGCGAGGACUGAAGACUCGUGAAGCUGACCAGUACUAAUAGGCCGAUGACUUACACACA
rnacentral:rRNA from 1 species